UACGUCAACAUCCUUAACGAAUUUAACCCAUUCUAACCUAUUGACCAUCGACUUUGAUAACCGUAAGCACGCUUUCGGCACCAGAGCAACGAUCAGAGAUCAGACAGGUAGCCCCGAAGGGUAUCCGUUGCAAUCCUCAAUCCCGAUCAUCACAUCUGCCGAAGGCUAUAACACUUCAAUCGAAAUCGAAGCUACAUUCCUCCAGCCAUUUUAUGAUAAUCAAAAUUGAUGUUAACUAACCACACAGGCAAGUACACCCAAAGUACACGAAUAUGCAGGCAUGAAGGCGUUUAACUCCUCACACUCCCAGAAUCAUGCCCAAAAGGCUGAUUACCCGCAGGUACGACUGGCUUCAAUCGUUUCCCUUUCAACAAUUUCACGUACUGUUUAACUCUCUUUUCAAAGUUCUUUUCAUCUUUCCCUCACGGUACUUGUUCGCUAUCGGUCUCUCGCCGUUAUUUAGCCUUAGGAGAAAUUUACCUCCCAUUUUAAGCUGCAAUCCCAAACAACUUGACUCUUUGAAAGCGUAUCGUAAAGCGAAUCUGAUCAACCGAACGGGAUUCUCACCCUCCGUGAUGCCUUAUCCCAAAGGACUUGGACUGAUCAGAAACACAGAAAACGCCUCUUCAAAUUACAACUCGGUCAGGUAGAACCCGACAGAUUUAAAAUUUGAGCUUGUCCCUCUUCACUCGCAGUUACUAGGGGAAUCAUUGUUAUUUUCUUUUCCUCCGCUUAUUGAUAUCG
rnacentral:rRNA from 1 species